rnacentral:lncRNA from 1 species
AUGGUGCUUUACCAGACCUGGAGCUACACGAUCCUCCCCCUCAACUCACCCUAUAGCUUUGUGGGUGCCUGCCUGUUUACAAGCCCACCCCAUACCUACGGGGUGGGCGACACGUACCUGUGUAGAAGCCCAGCCGACAGUCUGGAGGGCAUCUCUAUCCUUUUAGUCGUCCACCCCACAUUUUUUUUGGGGGGGGGGAGAAAUACCCACGUGUUCAGUAGCCUUGUCCAGAGUUUGGACGUAUAUAAUACGUGUGAAGUAACUCCCCCUUCUCCCCCAAAGGAACUCUCAGCUCGACACCGACCUGCAACCCCAACCUCCUCACACACUCCCACCCCCCCAAAACCCAUUUCACUUGUGUUCCCUCAGCAGCUCAGCUCCCUCAGCCGCAUCCCUUCAGCCCCUCCACCUCCUCGUCUUGGUCCCUCCAGGCCCCAAAUGUCUACCUAUCCCCUGUCCCCCCUCGUCGGCCAGCUCACCUCAGCGGAGCCCCCUCACACACGCUGUAGGGACGAGCACACGCCCCACAUCUCCCGGUCACCCCUGACUUUGAGGAGUUCUACCUCUGGUCAGUAUUGUAUCACAGUACAGCUGUAUCAUUGCAAUCCUAAAUCUGUUGAAGAAAACAUUAGUACCUUGAGACAGAGGGCCAGUACUGAAGAAGUAAUCACUUCCAGCUCUUGCUUGNNNNGGGGAGAAGGACCCCCGGCUCCCGCGGAGGGUCCGUCCCUCCGUCCUUCCUUCGCUCGCUCAAUCUCUCCGCAGCGCUCCCUUCGUGGGCUCGCUACCCAGCCAGCCAGCCAGCCAACCCGCCGGGCUCCCUCCGAGGGACUGGGACAGGCAACCGCUGGCGCGCCGACAGAAGUAGGAGGGGAAAAGGCGGAGGAGGCGGCGGCAAUACCCGCAAGCGAGCGCCACCCACCCGUCCAGCACCGCCGCUGCUGCUGCCGCCGCCGGCGGAUCCCGGCGACGACAACAAGAACCGUUGCUGGUGCUGCUGGUGGUGGUGCUGCUACUGAGGCUGCCGCCACUCCUUCUCCCCCUCCCUCCCUCUCUGGGCACACGCAGCGGUUGCCACAGAACGGGGCGGGGCCACUCCUACGUGUAGGCUUCCCCCCCUCCUGUUCCUGA